AUUAAUCUUUGGUAUCUUCAAUCUUUAUCAUAGUAGUAUCUUCUGUCAAUAAAAAUUAGAGAGAUGUGGUGUGAUACCAAUGAGACAGAUCUCUACAAGAGACCAAAUGACAUCGAACAUGAAAAGUUAUCAAUCAUAUUUUUCGUCUAUGUUUAUUAUUUUCGUUUUAAAAUAAUGUGGAAUUUUAGGCUCAUUCAGAUUUUGAAUUUUCCGUUCAGGUCCGAGUUUUGACACCCCAACAAUAUUUUUCACAUAUUUUUUU
rnacentral:lncRNA from 1 species